GCGAAGAGAGCUUGAAGGUUGAGCGCUAGAUUGUGAAUCUAGAGGUUAUGGGUUCGAAUCCCAUUCUUCGCC
rnacentral:tRNA from 2 species